rnacentral:rRNA from 1 species
GACGAACGCUGGCGGCGUGCCUAAUACAUGCAAGUCGAGCGAGUCUGCCUUGAAGAUCGGAGUGCUUGCACUCUGUGAAACAAGAUACAGGCUAGCGGCGGACGGGUGAGUAACACGUGGGUAACCUGCCCAAGAGAUCGGGAUAACACCUGGAAACAGAUGCUAAUACCGGAUAACAACAGAUGAUGCCUAUCAACUGUUUAAAAGAUGGUUCUGCUAUCACUCUUGGAUGGACCUGCGGUGCAUUAGCUAGUUGGUAGGGUAACGGCCUACCAAGGCGAUGAUGCAUAGCCGAGUUGAGAGACUGAUCGGCCACAUUGGGACUGAGACACGGCCCAAACUCCUACGGGAGGCAGCAGUAGGGAAUCUUCCACAAUGGACGCAAGUCUGAUGGAGCAACGCCGCGUGAGUGAAGAAGGGUUUCGGCUCGUAAAGCUCUGUUGUUGGUGAAGAAGGUCAGGGGUAGUAACUGACCUUUGUUUGACGGUAAUCAAUUAGAAAGUCACGGCUAACUACGUGCCAGCAGCCGCGGUAAUACGUAGGUGGCAAGCGUUGUCCGGAUUUAUUGGGCGUAAAGCGAGUGCAGGCGGCUCGAUAAGUCUGAUGUGAAAGCCUUCGGCUCAACCGGAGAAUUGCAUCAGAAACUGUCGAGCUUGAGUACAGAAGAGGAGAGUGGAACUCCAUGUGUAGCGGUGAAAUGCGUAGAUAUAUGGAAGAACACCGGUGGCGAAGGCGGCUCUCUGGUCUGUUACUGACGCUGAGGCUCGAAAGCAUGGGUAGCGAACAGG